UACGUAGGGGGCAAGCGUUGUCCGGAAUCAUUGGGCGUAAAGAGCGUGUAGGCGGUUCGGUAAGUCGGCUGUGAAAGUCCAGGGCUCAACCCUGGGAUGCCGGUCGGUACUGCCGGACUAGAGUUCGGAAGAGGCGAGUGGAAUUCCCGGUGUAGCGGUGAAAUGCGCAGAUAUCGGGAGGAACACCUAUGGCGAAGGCAGCUCGCUGGGACGUUACUGACGCUGAGACGCGAAAGCGUGGGGAGCAAACAGG
rnacentral:rRNA from 1 species